AUGGCGACUCUGCCCAUCGGGCGCAAGCAUUCCAAGGCGGUGCGCAGGAGCACACAACUGCGUCUGCUGCUAGAAGACUGCUUUUCAUUCCUUCAGCGGUUGAAGGAGCUGGCUUCUACCCCGGAGGAGAGACGGCGGUCGGACGGUCGUGGGUCGCGGCCCCCUUGCUUCGUGAGUCGGGAGCUCCGGGGCCUCCGAGUAGCUCACGGCUUUGAGCGUCUGGACUCUGACUGCGACCGGCGUCUUCUCGUGAGGGGUCUGCGGGAUGGAUGCAAAGCCCUUUCCCGGCGUUCUGGUGUCGACCUUGAGAAGCUCGCGCUCGUGUGUGCCCGCACCGUGGGUCUGGCUCGCCGGCCGUCCGGUUUAGCAAUUCGGAAGCGAGGGACUGCGCCUCACUUCUUGGCGUGCGGCCAGAAGAGGCCCUCAAGGCCCUGCUGGCGACUGACGGAGAACGCCUUCUUGGCGCGGGAGGCCUUGGCCGCCACGGAACGGGCGUCCCUGUGGGCAAGCCGGCUCCGCCCUCCGCGUGUGGAGGGGCGAGCCUCAAGAACGUCGCCUGCCGUGCCGCGUGGAGGCACGGAAAUCGAGGGGCCACGGGAGACCCGUUCUGCGUCGCACCGCGGCAGAGAAGAGUAAGAGCUUCUGAAUGGUUUCGUGGAGGAAUUCUUGAGCGCAGCUUCCUCCAAGUAUGGCCCAAAUUGCCUCAUUCGGUGCGAAGGCUUUGCCGGUACGCAGGCGCUUCGUCUCCUGCGCAAGCACCGGAACCAGUGCUGCACCCUCAGUGAUGAUCUUCAAGGAGCAGCAUCUGCUGCAGUUGCCGGUCUUCGAACAGCCAAGGAUGAGCUGUCUGACCAACCGCGGCUAUCCCGAGGAGCUGGAGAGACUGCCUGAGGUCUUGCACCCCUGAUGGUUAUGGCCAUGGAAAAAGAAGGAGAAAGCCCUCAAAAAGAUCUGGCUGCUUGACUCAAAAGGAUUGAUAGUUAAGGGACGUGCUUCCGUAACACAAGAGAAAGAGGAGUUUGCCCAUGAGCAUGAAGAAAUGAAGAACCUAGAAGCCAUCGUUCAAAAAAUAGAACCAACUGCCCUCAUAGGAGUUGCUGCAAUCGGUGGUGCAGCCUCCGAACAAAUUCUCAAAGAUGUGGCUGCCUUCAACGAACGGCCUAUUAUUUUUGCUUUGAGCGAUCCGCCCAGCAAAGCAGAAUGUUCUGCAGAGCAGUGCUAUAAAGUAACUAAGGGACGUGCAGUGUUUGCCAGUGGCAGUCCCUUUGAUCCAGUCACUCUUCCAAAUGGACGGACCCUGUAUCCUGGCCAAGGCAACAAUUCCUAUGUGUUCCCUGGGGUUGCUCUUGGUGUUGUGGCGUGUGGAUUGAGGCACAUCACAGAUAAGAUUUUUCUCACUACUGCUGAGGUUAUAGCUCAGCAGUUGUCAGAUAAAGACCUGGAAGAGGGCCGGCUUUAUCCUCCCUUGAAUACCAUUAGAGAUGUGUCCCUGAAAAUUGCAGAAAAGUUUGUGAAAGACGCAUACCAAGAAAAGACAGCCACCGUCUCUCCUGAACCACAAAACAAGGAAGCGUUUGUCCGCUCUCAGAUGUGUAGGACGGGUUAUGACCAGAUUCUACCUGAUCGUUAUGCUUGGCCCGAAGAGGUCCAGAAAAUACAGACCAAAGUUGACCAGUAAGAAAAUAGCCAGCAUUUCUAACUCUGUUCAAGGUCUUGCACUCUUUCAUAAGUUUUAGAGGUUGGGAUCUUUUAUAAUGAUUUCAUAAUAUGCUUAGAUUAGGAUAACUUUAACAUUCUAAAAAUUUAUGGAAGAAUAUUGAUAUAAAUUAGGGUAAACAUCACAUUAGACAAUUUUGCUUCAUUUGCCUUCUGGUUAUUUGUGGUUUCUAAAUUAUUCUGCCUAAGUUCUCUUUAAAAGCUAUUGUACCUACUACUGAGAAACUCGUUUUUAUAGAGGAAACCAAUUGGAAGACCA